GACUCAGUUGGUAGAGCAUGGUGCUUGCAAUGCCAGGGUUGUGGGUUCGAUUCCCAC
rnacentral:tRNA from 1 species